rnacentral:rRNA from 1 species
AUUGAACGCUGGCGGCAGGCUUAACACAUGCAAGUCGAGCGGGGUGAUGGUGCUUGCACUAUCACUUAGCGGCGGACGGGUGAGUAAUGCUUAGGAAUCUGCCUAUUAGUGGGGGACAACAUCUCGAAAGGGAUGCUAAUACCGCAUACGUCCUACGGGAGAAAGCAGGGGAUCACUUGUGACCUUGCGCUAAUAGAUGAGCCUAAGUCGGAUUAGCUAGUUGGUGGGGUAACGGCCUACCAAGGCGACGAUCUGUAGCGGGUCUGAGAGGAUGAUCCGCCAAACUGGGACAGAGAAAAGGCCCAGACUCCUACGGGAGGCAGCAUUGGGGAAUAUUGGACAAUGGGGGGAACCCUGAUCCAGCCAUGCCGCGUGUGUGAAGAAGGCCUUAUGGUUGUAAAGCACUUUAAGCGAGGAGGAGGCUCUUUUGGUUAAUACCCAAGAUGAGUGGACGUUACUCGCAGAAUAAGCACCGGCUAACUCUGUGCCAGCCGCCGCAGUAA